rnacentral:rRNA from 1 species
GACGAACGCUGGCGGCGUGCUUAACACAUGCAAGUCGAACGGUGAAGCUCCAGCUUGCUGGAGUGGAUCAGUGGCGAACGGGUGAGUAACACGUGAGCAACCUGCCCCUGACUCUGGAAUAAGCGCUGGAAACGGCGUCUAAUACUUGAUACGUGAAGGGUCCGCAUGGGCACUUUCUGUAAAGUUUUUCGGUUGGGGAUGGGCUCGCGGCCUAUCAGCUUGUUGGUGAGGUAAUGGCUCACCAAGGCGACGACGGGUAGCCGGCCUGAGAGGGCGACCGGCCACACUGGGACUGAGACACGGCCCAGACUCCUACGGGAGGCAGCAGUGGGGAAUAUUGCACAAUGGGCGAAAGCCUGAUGCAGCGAGGCCGCGUGAGGGAUGACGGCCUUCGGGUUGUAAACCUCUUUCAGCAGGGAAGAAGCGAAAGUGACGGUACCUGCAGAAGAAGCACCGGCUAACUACGUG